GUGUCUCAAAGAAGGACAAGGCAUGAUAAGCAUGAAAAUUGUAGCAUUUGUUAUUGGUUGUACCAGUUAUUUUUAAAUGAAAAAUGAUUUAAUUUGAAAUUAUAGAUUCCGAAAUAGCGAAUUAAGUUAUUAUGUGUUAGAGCUGCGUAUGUUAAUUUUUUCUAGGGUUAAAGUGAUCAAUUAGAGAUUACUACGCCCCUGGCAUCACAUGGGAUGAAAUGGGCAAUUAGCACUCCUCGUGCCUUUUCUCGACUGCAGAAACCGUUCCUACGAAAUAACUAUUUUUAAAGAUAAAAACUGUUUCUUUAGUAUUUGCUCUUGUAGAUACCUUGAACCAAAGAAUCUCACCAAAGUAACCGUGACCCUCGUGGAAGCGUGGGUAGCUGUGCUUUUGGUAAAAGGCCUCUUUCGAGCAUAUGGAGACCUUGCAUAUCAGGUAGGGUUUUUUUAAAGCAUAACAUUAAUUCCACGCCCAGAGUUCUUCCACAGUAGGCAAUUUCCGUACCGACAAUUUCAAUUGAAAUGCAUCCAAAUCCUACACCAACGUUUGUUGCCGCAUUAAAAAGUCUGGCUACCAUAUAUUGUAAUUUUCUGGUUUGUCUUACAAAAUCUUAAAUUUUUGAAAUCUUCCAGUUUGCUAUUAAUGUCGGAAAUCAGAAAAUUUCUAAAUUUUGAUUUUGUAACAAAGCCCGUUUGUUUACAAUUUUUGCUGCUGUUUCUAGUGCUAUUUUCCCCUUCUGAUGCAUGUGAAUGAGUAGAUGAGUUAUGAAUGUUCUGAAUAUAUGCACCACUGAUGUACAUUUGAAUAUUCAUAACUCAUCCACUCGUUAAAAUUGCAGCAAACCAUUAGUUCGCUAUAUAAGCCAGGAUUAGGCUUCAAUGUAAAUAUAUGAUACAUAAUGAGUUUUAAUGACGUUCCCAUGCGACUGGACGGUCUGAAUAUGUAAUGAGAUACAUGCACACGUGAACGCUGGAUAGCAAAGUCAGAAGCACUUUGAACAUAUUUUAUGUUUUUAAACAUUUCAUUUUAGAGAUAUAUUUGUGUCAGAAUAACAGUAUAUUUUCUGGCCUGUCUAUGGAGUUACUCUGUUAUAUUAUUCCUUUCACAUUUUUUAGGUGGUGUUACAAUAAUAUGUUUAUUGUGUGUGAAUAUGGUUAUUGUAAGUAUUUUGAAGAAAGGUAAGUAUACGGAACACGCAUAUACUUUCCCGGUAGCAGAAAAAAAAUUGGGAUCACAAUGUAUGCGGUAAGGGUCACCAAUGGUACUCACCAAACGUGAACCUUUGACUAGUACAGUGAAUGUAUACAUUGAUCAUAUUUGCUAACCCAAUUUUAGUGGGUUUGGGAAAGAGGAAUUUAAUUACCUUAUACCAUGUGCCAUACACACGAUCGCGGACCAAGAGAUGUUAAGAUAGCAAAGAACAACGACAAAUAUUAGGUGCUAUUGAAAAGGAACUGCAUAUAAAAAGAAAGCCUGUUAUCUUCAGCAAAAUAUUUUGUGGUUGAAGUUGAACAUGUAAUGACAAUGCAAAAAUUACUCUGAAUUAUUACAAGUAGCAUUUAUAUGGAAAACGACGAAAAUCGUAGGAUAUUAGCAAUAAUAGUUUAUAAUCUACCAACAACAGUCGCCAAAUAUUUUGAAAUGAGGAAAUAUAGAUUUUUAUUGUUGUAGUGUUUGAUAACGAAAGUUAUUUUCACCAAGUUUAUCGUUGCUGGUGUUACGGAAUAUAAUUUGGAAUAUAUAUUUAUAAAUAUAUACAUUAAUCCCCUUAGUGAGUAAUCUACUUGUCUUAGCCUACCACGUUCUCUUCAACAUUUCUGUAGUUUACUUGUAAAAAUAUGUAGCCGCAUCAGGUUAUUUUUCUAAUACAUAUUCUUGAGAUAUGUUACAAUGCACAGAUUUUAAGUGCCGUGUGCCUGUGUUUAAAGACGUCGAAUUUGAGCUUAAAACCACGAGCGCAACACACAUGUGCGAAACCAAAUUCCAUUCGCGACCAAUUCCGUGGUCAUUAGAUACAAAUCCCCAACGUAUUUAAUAUUUUUAUCGCGAGGUGCAAACUCUUAUGAAUACGCCUCGUAUUUAUUUCUAAGCCAAAUUGGCCGUGUUCUCUUGGAUGCCGCCGCACUUUAACCCACUAGGCGGAAUUUUUCUUUGUCUUUUCUAAUUAGUUCCACCCGAGAAAUCACAAGACAAAGAAAAAUUCCGCUCCGCGCGCAAAAUUCCGCCUAGUGGAAAACCGGCUUAAAACUGCUGACACGGUACCAAUUUAUUAGCCUUUAUCACGAAGGCCAAAAUCCGCCAUUUUGGGGGUACUGUCUGCCCUCUUGAAAGAUUCUAGACAAUUCAAACAAUGUGAAAAGCGACUUUGAAAAGUUGUAACAGUACACCAAAAUGGCGGGAAAAUCGGCGGCGAGAAAGGCUAAUUCUCGGAACCGUUGCUCAGUUGCUACGGAUGUCACCGAGGUGUGUGUGCGAACGCAUAAAACAUUUGCUCGGGUUAACGCCCACAAACGUUGACGACCACACCUACAUGUUUUUUCAUGUUCACAAAUUUUAAACCGUCAAUCCGGCUCAUAUAGGUAGCCUGCGUGUCAGACUCUAUGCUUGAAAUAGAGCGGAGCCUGCUACUGAAGUCGAUGAAAAGUGGACAGUCAUUUGGAUGCACGAAAAUAACAACCAAUCAAAACAGCGAUUGUUAAUUAGAUUAUCAAAGCUAAUUUAAAAUAUGACUGAAUGACGGCCAAUUUUUCCGCCAAUAUCUCGAAAAUAAAUAUUCCAAUUUUCAUUAAACGACCAGGAAUUACAUACUAAUAAUAAUAACGGUUAUUGACCGUGUUUACAGACUGCAAAGGCAGUAAUUAAUGUGGCCAAAAGUACCAGUAUGGAAUAAUCGUUGUGUAAACAACAACUUGACAUUACUUUAUGAAGCAAGGCUAUUUAUUUCUGACUAAUGGGGAAUUUUGCGUACGGAAUCGUACGCAUAAGUCCACUUUUUAUUAACUUCAGUAGCAGGCUCUAUUUCAAGCAUAGAGUCUGACACGCAGGCUAGUUCAUAGGUUACCAUGGGUGCAGAGGUAGGAAACCACUAAUCAGGGGGUAGUUCUUGGUAUAAUUGCUAUAAAAAUUUGAUUGGCUAUUGUUUUCGUCAACAUUUGUGGCACACUUCGGUGACCUUAGUAUUAUGCAAGAUUUCAAGUUAGUUCGAGUUUACAUGGUACGGUUGACUAGAUGCAUGUGCAUGCGAAUUCGUCCAGUCUCGUGUGGACGAGGCUUAUGUGAACGAGAUGGUUCAAGAAAUCGGCAGCGACUACUACACCAGACUGGAAAAGACAGAGUGGCGUUCAUGAAAAAUGGCUUUCCAACUGACGGCCUGCCUGCCUUGGUGUACUUGAACCAAAAACAGCAGCAAUGACGAUGGCUUCGCUUAUGCGUUAUACAGGGGUGAUUUUCAGGAGGAGCGCUGGGGACGUCAAGUUUUACAACAAGAUGAGUUCUUUUACGUUUGAAGCCAUCGUCAGAAUCCAGAAGUCCAUCUGUAUUUCAGCGAAAAGUGAUUCAAAGUUUUUGUGCCAAUUAACAGUGACGGAGGUUUUGGAUGCAUAAGAUAUAGGCGAAGUUAACUAGAUUCUUUUGUAGAGAAACUGUUAUAAAAUAAUCCAAUCCUGUUUAUUGCAAUUUUGCCCCAUUUGGCUCGUUUCCAUGUUUUCCUGUUUUAGCAUGCAGGCGCACACGAAUGUAAUAUCCCCAUGUUUCGUGCACAAAUAUGUUGUUCAUUGAUCUUGAGCUUCAUCACCCGUCUAUCCUUAUCCCUAUUAUGCAGAAACAUGAGAAAUUUAACCACAUGAAAACGAGGCCAUUGGGACAGGGGUGCAAGCUGCAUAAAAUUAAAACGUGUAUGAAGUGAUAAUGAAAAUAAAGAAAUAUGAGUUUGAUUGGUGUGUUGAGUAAUUGAUUAAAAGGAUUUUCUCUAGUUAUAGUGAUCAUUUCAACUACAUUGUCAUCUAUUAUUAAC
rnacentral:lncRNA from 1 species